rnacentral:lncRNA from 1 species
GUGGGUCAUUUGGAAGGAUAACAUUUGCCUGAGAGAUGAUGAAGAAAUUGAAGUCUACCAAAGGUUCUGAUCACUUCAAUUUGCAUUACUCCAUGUUAGUCUUUCCAGGUUUUUUGGUGAUCAUCUUGUCAUUUCUUAUGGCCCAAUGUUUCCUCUUAGAUAAAAUCACCUGGAGAGAAAGAUGGCAAACCAUACCAUUAUCUGCCAAGAAAAAUCCAAAUGGGCUCACAAAGACUGAACAACAACACAUGCCAGUUGAAGAAACUGAGGUCCAGAGAGGUGAAAUGGUUGUCAGAAAGAGAAGGGAAGGAGAAGGAAAGGCAAGAAGAAAAGAAGGAAAGGUCUCACCUAAUCAGAAAUGGGUUUGCUGAAUCUGAAGACAAGAUCUUCUGAAGUUAUAGUUGAGUUAGAUCAAAAAUCUGGACUUAGUUUGUUGCUCAGGAGUAAACUCCACAAUACUCCAUAAAUCUUUGUAACUUUCCCUUUUUAGCUAUCAUCAUAACUCCUUGUCUAUUUCCAUUAAUAGUGUUAUUUGUAAGAAAAAAAUUUCAAUGUUUACUAUGUUUGAAGCUCUGUUCUAGGAACAUGGGAUUUAAAAAUGAGCACUUGAGAGAUCACCAGAUCUAAACUUUUCAUUUUAUAAAUGAAAUCUGGAUGAGUUAAUAAAUGAAAUAAACUGGAGCCCA